rnacentral:rRNA from 1 species
GACGAACGCUGGCGGCGUGCUUAACACAUGCAAGUCGAACGAAGUGGCGAACGGGUGAGUAACGCGUAUUCAACCUGCCCUUCAGAGGGGGACAACAGUGGGAAACGACUGCUAAUACCGCAUACUGAAGGAGGGGAUUGCGUCUGAUUAGCUAGUUGGAGGGGUAACGGCCCACCAAGGCGAUGAUCAGUAGCCGGGCUGGGGAGAUGGACGGGCACAUUGGGACCGGGGAACGGCCCAGACUUCUACGGGGAGGCGCAGUGGGGGAUCUUUCGAAAUGGACGAAAGUCUGACGGAGCAACGCCGGGGGAGUGAUGGCGGGCUUCGGGUUGUAAAGCUCUGUUAAUCGGGACGCGGUACCGGAAUAGAAAGCCACGGCUAACUACGUGCCAGCAGCCGCGGUAAUAC